GCCAGUACCAAAUCUCCCUGCAAUUCUCACCUGGUGUCCCACUGAAGCUAAGCAGGGUUGAGCCUGGCCAGUACCUGGAUGGAAGACCUCCUGGGGAAAACUAAGGUUGAUGCUGGAA
rnacentral:rRNA from 1 species